rnacentral:rRNA from 1 species
CGUACACUCCUACGGGAGGCAGCAGUGGGGAAUAUUGGACAAUGGGCGCAAGCCUGAUCCAGCCAUGCCGCGUGAGUGAUGAAGGCCCUAGGGUUGUAAAGCUCUUUCACCGGAGAAGAUAAUGACGGUAUCCGGAGAAGAAGCCCCGGCUAACUUCGUGCCAGCAGCCGCGGUAAUACGAAGGGGGCUAGCGUUGUUCGGAAUUACUGGGCGUAAAGCGCACGUAGGCGGAUCGAUCAGUCAGGGGUGAAAUCCCAGGGCUCAACCCUGGAACUGCCUUUGAUACUGUCGAUCUGGAGUAUGGAAGAGGUGAGUGGAAUUCCGAGUGUAGAGGUGAAAUUCGUAGAUAUUCGGAGGAACACCAGUGGCGAAGGCGGCUCACUGGUCCAUUACUGACGCUGAGGUGCGAAAGCGUGGGGAGCAAACAGGAUUAGAUACCCGGGUAGUCC